UACGGAGGAUGCAAGCGUUAUCCGGAAUGAUUGGGCGUAAAGGGUCCGCAGGUGGCCAUGUGUGUCUGCUGUCAAAGAAUGAGGCUUAACCUCAUCAAGGCAGUGGAAACUACAUAGCUAGAGUACGGUCGGGGUAGAAGGAAUUCCUGGUGUAGCGGUGAAAUGCGUAGAUAUUGGGAAGAACACCGGUGGCGAAAGCGCUCUGCUGGACCUGCACUGACACUGAGGGACGAAAGCUAGGGGAGCGAAAGGG
rnacentral:rRNA from 1 species